rnacentral:rRNA from 16 species
GAUGAACGCUGGCGGUAUGCUUAACACAUGCAAGUCGAACGGUCUCUUCGGAGAUAGUGGCGGACGGGUGAGUAACGCGUGAGAAUCUGGCUCUAGGUCUGGGACAACCACUGGAAACGGUGGCUAAUACCGGGUGUGCCGAAAGGUGAAAGGUUAACUGCCUGGAGAUGAGCUCGCGUCUGAUUAGCUAGUUGGUAGGGUAAAGGCUUACCAAGGCGACGAUCAGUAGCUGGUCUGAGAGGACGAUCAGCCACACUGGGACUGAGACAC